CCUACGGGUGGCUGCAGCGGGGAAUAUUGGACAAUGGGCGAAAGCCUGAUCCAGCCAUGCCGCGUGUGUGAAGAAGGCCUUCGGGUUGUAAAGCACUUUCAGUGGGGAAGAAAGCCUUGGGGCUAAUACCCUCGAGGAAGGACAUCACCCACAGAAGAAGCACCGGCUAACUCCGUGCCAGCAGCCGCGGUAAUACGGAGGGUGCGAGCGUUAAUCGGAAUUACUGGGCGUAAAGCGCGCGUAGGCGGUCUGAUAAGCCGGUUGUGAAAGCCCCGGGCUCAACCUGGGAACGGCAUCCGGAACUGUCAGGCUAGAGUGCAGGAGAGGAAGGUAGAAUUCCCGGUGUAGAGGUGAAAUGCGUAGAGAUCGGGAGGAAUACCAGUGGCGAAGGCGGCCUUCUGGACUGACACUGACGCUGAGGUGCGAAAGCGUGGGUAGCAAACAGGAUUAGAUACCCGUUAGUC
rnacentral:rRNA from 1 species